CCUGACAAACCAAACGGGAAUUAAUGAAGGGCAGAUGGGAGAAGGAUACUCCUCUUCCCUUGUUAGAAACCAUGACUAGUAUUUUUACCUCAUAGCUAAGCUUUUUUUUUUUUUUGAAUUAUAAAACUAUAAGGAUAAAAUUUUGAGGGGGAAAAACGUCUUCCUGGGGUAUGAGCCUUAGCUACCUAGGAGCGUCUGGGAAGGUGGGCGGAGUCUGGAGGGGGCGGUGCUUUUGGCUACUCAUUGGCCUGAGGGUUUGUCGAUCAAGCAUGCCUAGCAAAUGAGGUGAGAGCUAAAGGGCACACUGGGAACGAAAUUAACGGGAGGUCUGACGGCUAGGGGAGGGGGGGGUUCAAUAUCUUAGUAGUGAAGAGAUCUCGGGGUCUCGCACUGCGCCAUUCGGCUGAGGCACGCCUCGGUCCGCAGCAGCUGCAGCCGGGAGAGCCCUUACCUCUGCCGCUCUUGCUCAGGCCUCCAGUGUCGCUGCCGCCUCCGCGGCUUCAGCCCAGCCCCACCCCGCCCUGCACUCCUGCUGCCUUCGCCGCUGCCCCGACCUCCACCGCUGCCACCCAAGCAUCCGGCUGAGGCCGGCGGAUCCCUUCUCCAGUCCCCAGCCGGACCAAAGAGGUCGUCUCCUCCGCCGCCGCCGCCGCGGGCAUCCCCGCCUUCUCAUUUGUGAGUUUUUCGCUUCCUGAAUUGGGCUCAGAGCCUCCGGGGCCUUUAUUCGUAAACUUUUUUUUUUUUGUUGCUGUUGUUGUUUUCCUUUAACCUGGCAGACUCAAAUAAGGAGGGGCUUUUCCUGAGUAGCAGCAGUGGCUGCAAUAGAGGUCGUGGAAGAGAUUUGUCGAGCAAAGUGAAGAAAGGGUAACGGGAUGAAUCAGAUGAUACAAAUGCCCCCAUUCUGAGGGCCUAAAGAGAAGGGCGUCCUUGCCCUCCGAAAGCUUCAGGGGGUCAAGUGAUAAGGUAGAUGCUGAAUUUGAAAAGAUACUGCAGGCUUUUGCAAAAAGGAUAAAUCCUCUUGUUUAGGUGUUUGUGCCCACCAGCCCAAGGAUUAGGACAACCUGCUGUAUAAUAACUUCAACAAACGUGUGCAUUACUUCAAAUUAUGUUUUGUAUUUUUUGUGGAGUAUAUUUUUUAAAUUUAAAAAACGAAAUAUAUAAGUAUCAAAACAGCGUUUAGAAGUAUAGUUUUCAAAAGAUGGAAACAAAAAAAUUCUCUAAAGCAUCUGUAGUUUAGUCCUUAUGAUAUUUUUGUCAUAUAACCUUUAGAGAGUAACUGGAAAAACUAUCAGAACUUUUCAAUAAAGCUAAUAGUUACUUGGGGGAAAAAACGUCC
rnacentral:lncRNA from 1 species